AGUUUAAAUCAACGAAGAAAAAUAGAUUCAUUAGAAUUCCAAAUGAUGAUGUCUGAUCAUAUAAUUACAUCAGCUUUUCUUUUGUUUAAAAAAUUUAGUUAUUUAAAAAGACUUGUGGUGGCACAUGCCUUUAAUCCCAGCACUCGGGAGGCAGAGGCAGGCAGAUUUCUGAGUUCGAGGACAGUCAGGGCUACACAGAGAAACCCUGUCUCGAAAAAACAAACAAACAAACAAGCAAACAAACAAACAAAAAAAGACUUGUAAAUUAAAAAAAAAAAAAUCCUCCAUCAAAAUUAACCAGACCCAAAGUCUACACAACUCAAAGACUUUCCGUACAGUGAGAAUGGGCAUUAGGAAUGGCAGCUGUGGAGCUUCACAUUAGAUUCUACACUUUCAUUAUUGAAUACAGUUUAUGUACUUAUCCACCACCAAAAACCAAAGCAGAACAACCCAUGACAGCCAGAACUAGAAAGACAACUUAGCUUCAUAUGCUCCUUCAUAAUCCAUGCCACUACCUGCAUUCAGAUCUUCCUUAGCCCGUCAUAUUUAGCAUUUUGUCUUCUUUCCUUUAUGUUGUACUGUAACUAGUGUACAUUUGUUUAUAUAUAUUUUUUAUUGGCUGGAAUCUGUAUAUGAGAGUGAACAUAUGAUUAUUUUUCUUUUUGAUUUAUUUGACCUCAGUGUUAUGCAUUCUAAGUCCAUCCAUUUUCCUGCAGAAUAUUUUAUGAUAGCAAAUAUACUAUAUUGCUACCCCUCAGUAGGAAUAACAGAUAAGACAGUCUGUAGGAAAAUUCACAGGAAAUUAUUAUUACACAGGAAAGGAAUCUUCACAAAGGAAGAUUUUAAAGCACUACUGCAAGCACUGCAUGAUUUCCACCAUGGCUGCAUUAAUUUACACUACUCCCAUUAACUCUUGACAUCCCCUCCACCACUGCUGUCAGAUUUGUUGACAGACAUUUUGAUUAGUGUGAAGUGGUAUCUCAAAGCACAUCCAUCCAUCCAUCUAUCUAUCUAUCUAUCUAUCUAUCUAUCUAUCUAUCUAUCUAUCUAUCUAUCUGGUUUUUUUGAGAUAGAAUUUCUCUGUGUAGCUCAGGAACUCACUCUGCAGACCAGGCUGGCCUUGAACUCACACAGAUCUGCCUGCCUCUGCCUCGUAAAUGUUGGAAUGAAAGGCAUGCAUUACCACCACUUGGCUUCACAGUAGUUUUGAGUUGCAUUUCCCUGAUUGGGUUUUGGGUUUUUUCCCCCAUGGUGCUCAAUAUCUGUAAUUCUUUGUAAGUUCUGGCUGUCAGUGCCUUGCUGAAGUGUAGCUAGGGAAGAUUUCCCCCCAUUGUGUGGGCUGUCUGUUAACUCUGCUGAUUGCAUUCUCUGCUAUGGAGGAACCUUUUAUUGUUGAGCAGUCCCAUCUGUUGAUACUUGGGGUUAGUUAGUUCCUAUGUGGUUGAUGUUCUUUUGAAAAGUUCUUGCCUACCCCAUAUUUUGAAGGCUAUCACCUGUGUUUUCUUCUAAAAGUUUCAGUGUUUCAGGUUUUAAAUUAAGCUCUUUCAUCCAUUUUGGAUGAUUUUUUUUUUUACAAGAUGAAAAAUAUAAACAAAAUAUUCUGUAGGUAGAAAUAGAAUUUUUCUAGCACUGUUUGUUGAAUUUUUCAAAUAAAAAUUAAACCAGUUUUUAAAGAGAAUGAUCAAAUCCUGAUAGUCACCUUAUAAUACAGUGCUUUUGAAUGGUAACACUCAAGGUAGACUACCUGAUAUAGGAGGGGGGUUUUUUUGUCUUUUUUUUUUUUUUUUUUUUUUUUUAAGAACCACUUUAAAAUUCUGAAUCUAAGGGCCUUCAUCGGCUUCUGUAAGCACUAAGAGAUUUAGCUAUUCUUCAGGGUGGGGCCAUAAGGUGCAUUGUUUCUUCUGCACUGGUACUUAACUAAAUACCUAGUUUCUUCAAAAAUGUAUUCUCUGGCUAGUGGUCAUUCUUUUUACCAUGCAGUGGCUCUCAAUCCCUUUCAUUCUCUUUUAAAAAUAACGAAUGCUUUAUCACACUAUCUUUACUACUUCC
rnacentral:lncRNA from 1 species